rnacentral:rRNA from 1 species
UACGUAGGGGGCAAGCGUUGUCCGGAUUUAUUGGGCGUAAAGAGCGUGUAGGCGGCCAGGUAGGUCGGUUGUGAAAACUGGAGGCUUAACCUCCAGACGUCGACCGAAACCCCCUGGCUAGAGUCCGGAAGAGGAGAGUGGAAUUCCUGGUGUAGCGGUGAAAUGCGCAGAUAUCAGGAAGAACACCCGUGGCGAAAGCGGCUCUCUAGUACGGUACUGACGCUGAGACGCGAAAGCGUGGGGAGCGAACAGG